rnacentral:rRNA from 1 species
CUACGUGCCAGCAGCCGCGGUAAUACGGAGGAUGCGAGCGUUAUCCGGAUUUAUUGGGUUUAAAGGGUGCGUAGGCGGCCUGUUAAGUCAGCGGUGAAAUCUAGGAGCUUAACUCCUAAAUUGCCAUUGAUACUGGCGGGCUUGAGUGUAGAUGAGGUAGGCGGAAUGCGUGGUGUAGCGGUGGAAUGCAUAGAUAUCACGCAGAACUCCGAUUGCGAAGGCAGCUUACUAAGGUACAACUGACGCUGAAGCACGAAAGCGUGGGUAUCAAACAGGAUUAGAUACCCUGGUAGUCCACGCAGUAAACGAUGAUAACUGGGCGUAUGCGAUAUACAGUAUGCUCCUAAGCGAAAGCGUUAAGUUAUCCACCUGGGGAGUACGCCGGCAACGGUGAAACUCAAAGGAAUUGACGGGGGCCCGCACAAGCGGAGGAACAUGUGGUUUAAUUCGAUGAUACGCGAGGAACCUUACCCGGGCU